rnacentral:misc_RNA from 1 species
AAACUGCGAUAAGUAGUGUGAAUUGCAUUUAGUGAAUCAUCGAAUCUUUGAACGCACCCUGCACUCACUGGUAUUCCGGUGAGUACGCCUGUUUCAGUAUCAUUGAAAACACACAAUCAAAACAUUUUCUUUGGUUUGAUUGGCUUUGGGUCUAUCAAAAAGUUUGGCUUGUUUCUUACAAGACAAGCGGCCUGAAAUAUAUUGUCUGGCUAAUUGCAUCGUUGAUGAUCGCUAUUAGACUUUGGCUUUUUUAAAUGAACUGGAGGUUGAUUAACCAGUUUUAGCUUUAGUCAAAUGGUCAUUGUAAAAAAAAUCUCGAUCUUGGCUAGGUGUUUAUAGCCGAAAAUUUUUUUUUGGCUAUAACCGAAACCAAUAUAAUCACAUUUAGUUAUCGAUCUGAAAUCAGGUGGGACUACCCGCUGAACUUAAGC